GCGGACUGGCCCGAGCGCAGGCUCGGCUGAGAGGGCGGUCACUUCAGUGUUGGGGUCUCGGGCACGAGGCCUCUCUCAGCCCAUGUACAGUGGGCCGUUGGACUCAGGCGGGCGUCAGUGCGCGGCGAUCCCUCAGGCUCCUCGGCGGGCGAGCAGCGGGCACUGGUGUGGAGUCCGCGAGGAUGGUGGGGCGCAGCUGAGAUGGAGGACGUUGAGGCUUCCGGGCGCGCUGGGCCUCCUCUUGAGGAAUGCGUCCACAUGCUUUCCUCCCAGCACGGGCCUCACUCAUGAGGCUUUUCACAACUCUCAGGAGCCAGCUGGACACCCCGGGCCCCUUUGGACGUCCUUCAUAGACCCGUUAUGACGUGUAUUAGUCCAAGUGCUUUUCAAAACAGCCUUGGAAGGAGCUCCAGCAGCAAUUUCAGACGGAAAAAAGGAUCAGGACCAUUUCACAUUCACAUGGAACACAGAUGCAGUUUUGCCCGAAGGCUAUGUUACCUCUCUUGCCCUCUUGUAGUCCAAAGACUUCACCAUCCUGAAGAAUAUCACACUGCUCCAUUACACCAAUAAUAUUACAAAGAUGCUGGAGGCCUUGGUAAGAUACAGGUGUUCCAGAGAGUAGCAGAUAAACACUGUGAAGAUUCAGAGACCUGCUACAUUUGUAACAUUUUUAGGGAUCCAGUGGUCAGUAGUGCCCUAGGGCAUCCCUUUCAAAAGGCAAAGACAAUUAUUGCAUCUUGCACCUUCAGCCAUCAAUAAAGGAAGAUACUUUUGGGUCUUUUCA
rnacentral:lncRNA from 1 species